rnacentral:lncRNA from 1 species
UGAACGUCAGAAAGCGAUACUUCUGAAGGACACGUCUGGUGUUGUCCAAAAGUCUGCCAAAGCUUCUGACACUUAUACUCCUGGUAAGCUUCCUAAGGCCAAAAAUCCUUUUGUUUCUGAUUCUAUUAAUUCUGAAAGAAUCCUACCAACUCAACCACCUACCAUUUUACAACCAAUUCCAUCUCCUUCUCAAAGCAUUCUCAUUUCACAACCACUUCCCACAGAAACACCUAUUUUAGAACCUGUUUUAAAACCUAUUACAGAAAGUCCUAAAUUUUC